UGACAUGCAUAUAUUCUUCAAACAUGAACAAAUAUUACUGAACAUUAAAAAACCUAUAGCAUACAUAUAACUAUAUGUUACUAUAGGUGACUAUAGUUAUCUACAAUUAUCUAUAGUUAUAUACAGUGACAUAAAGUCUAGACUACUGUAGCAUGAAUCCAACUUCACAAGGCACUUCAUCGAAUCUUAUUCUAUGCUGUAUGCAUGCCAUAAAAUUAUAAUAAAAGCAAAACCUGCGACAAAAAAAAAUGAGUUAAACGCAAAAUAGAACAUGCGAGUUAUAUUACAUGAAAAAUACAAAAAAACAUGAUUUUUUUUUUGUUGAUAAAUUUACUGAACUGAAAUCGACUACAAAUGACUAUAAUAUACUACAAUUCCUAUACUCAUGUAUAGUUAUAUGUAGCCAUGACUAUACAUGAUUACAUAUGACUGUAUAGUCAUGUAUAGUUUUAUAUGUAGACAUGACUAUACAUGAUUACAUAUGACUGUAUAGUCAUGUAUAGUUAUAUGUAGCCAUGACUAUACAUGAUUACAUAUGACUGUGUACAUGAUUAUAUGUAUAUGACCAGUGGCGGAGCCAGGAAUUCGAGACAGGGUGGGCUUAACAUUAACGGGGGUUCGGGGGCAGCGCCCCCGAUUAUUAUUUUUUGAUUCAUUCACAUAAAAAUAUAGCACAAAAUAACUACAAAUUUAUAAACUUAAACUAAUAUAAGCUAUAUUAAAUUACUUGGGUGGGUGGGCUUAACAUUGACGGGGGCUAAAUUAUUUUUUUAUUCAUUAACAUAAAAUAGCAUAAAAUAACCACAAAUUAUAAACUUCAACUAAUAUAACAUAAAUUUUUUGAUAGAUAAGCUAAACUAAAUUACUUGGGUGGGCUAAAUUAAACUAUUUGGGAGGCUAAUUAUAUAUAGAUAUAAUAUAUAGUAUAAUUUUUUAAAUAAUGAGAGUGGGCUGGAGCCCACCCUUGUCAAAGGGUGGCUCCGCCACUGUAUAUGACUAAAUCUAACUGUAUAUUCACAUGACUCAAAUCACCCAUCUAAGUAACCACUACAGAAAAUUUCAACUACAGACAAACAAAACUCUCACACUUGAGGCAUUUCGAAUCAUCUUCAAAUAAAUACAAAAAGUAAAUUACAUAUGAUUUAUAAUAAAAAAUCAAAUUAAUCCAAAGAAUUUUUUUCAAUAUUAAUUGUUCAUAGAUCAUCAAAACAUAGUAGAUUUGGUUUUUUUUUUUUUUUUGAUAAAUGCAAUAAAUAUAUACAAAUCAAACACCACCGGUUCCAAAUCUGAAAUUCACCAUUAGAUCUGACUACACAUAGUCAGAACACAAUUUGAAAUUUUCGAAAUCAGUUGUUUUUCAUAGAAUAAAACAAUAAAAAAAGUUGAAAUAGUAAUAAUAAUUCAGAACUUCAAAAAAUAAAUUAAAAUCGAUGGGCAUUCAUAAAUUAAAAAAAUACCUUAAAAAGGUGAAGUGGAUGGCGGUGGGAGGAGCAACGACGGCCGGCACAAGGCCGUGGCGGAGCAACGGCAGCGGAAUAGGACGGUGGCAGAGCAGCAGACCAGCGGCGUAUGGCGGUGGUGGAGGGAGGUGAGAGAGAGAAGAGAACGGGAGAAUUUUGAGAGAGAGAGAGAGAGAGAGAGAGAGAGAGAGAGAGAGAGAAAAGAACACACUGAAGGAGGGAGAGGAAAAGAAAACGCUGAACGAGGGAGAGAGAAG
rnacentral:lncRNA from 1 species